CGGCGGACGGGUGAGUAACGCGUGGGUAACCUACCCUGUACACACGGAUAACAUACCGAAAGGUAUGCUAAUACGGGAUAAUAUAUUUGAGAGGCAUCUCUUGAAUAUCAAAGGUAAGCCAGUACAGGAUGGACCCGCGUCUGAUUAGCUAGUUGGUAAGGUAACGGCUUACCAAGGCGACGAUCAGUAGCCGACCUGAGAGGGUGAUCGGCCACAUUGGAACUGAGACACGGUCCAA
rnacentral:rRNA from 1 species